GGGCUGCAGUCGAGAAUCUUCCGCAAUGGGCGAAAGCCUGACGGAGCGACGCCGCGUGAUGGAUGAAGUACUUCGGUACGUAAACAUCUUUUAUCAGGGAAGAACUAAAGUGACGGUACCUGAGGAAUAAGGGGCUGCAAAACUCGUGCCAGCAGCAGCGGUAAAACGAGUGCCCCAAGCGUUAUCCGGAAUUACUGGGCAUAAAGGGUGCGUAGGUGGUCUUAUUAGUCGUUUAUUAAAACUCCCGGCCUAACCGGGAAGCGGUGAACGAAACGGUAAGACUAGAGAGAGUGAGAGGUUAGCAGAACUCAUGGUGUAGGGGUGAAAUCCGUUGAUAUCAUGGGGAAUACCGAAGGCGAAGGCAGCUAACUGGCGCUUAUCUGACACUCCAGCACGAAAGCGUGGGUCGCGAACGGGAUUAGAUACCCUGGUAGUC
rnacentral:rRNA from 1 species